CUCGCCUCCAUCUAUUUAUAUCAUCAUCUCCUCCGAGUCCUCUCCGAUCUCCGACGAGAUCCAUUAGGGUUUAUGUUUUGAGACUGGAAGACAUACAGGAUGCCAAUGCUUAGUUGGUAUUGGAUUGGGAGGUUGAGAAUUGGUCAUGCAAUGGGAUUUAAGUAUUUAAAGAGAUUAAAUUUAAAUGAAGUUUCUGUUUAAGUUUGGAAAUUAGUUCAUUUGUUAUAUCUCUGACUUGUAUUAACUUAGCUAACCCAAGAUGGUGUUUGUGUGUCUGUUUGGUGGAUUUAAUAGUAAAAUUCAUGAAAUAUUUGAAAUUAAAUUGAAUUGGAAUAUUUGUUUUGUUA